rnacentral:tRNA from 1 species
AAAUGUUAAAUAGAUUUUACUAUGUUUGAUUACGGUUCAAAAAGAUAUACAUUUUAAAUUGUGUAAUUUAGUUUAGAAAGAAUAU